rnacentral:lncRNA from 1 species
UUCAAUCAGUUCUCUUAUAUAAGAUAGCAGAAAUAGGAGUUCUCGUUUCAAGUAAGAAUGAAGUGAUAGGUAUAGAUAGAAGACAGAGUUCAAAGAGUAAGCCCGAAGUCAGGAGUCAGGAGUCAGCCCAGAAUAAGAAGUAAGCCCAGAAGAAGGUGAGUAAUCUUAUCUUAUUGGCUUUGAUGCGAGGCUUUGAUGCGCUAAGUUAAUCCCCAGCCCAGUGGAACUGUGUGUUGUCGAUUAAGAAAGGGGAGUUUUGUAGGAUAGGAUUGAAGCCAGAUCAGAGGAGAGGCUUUGAAGCAGUAGAAGUCAAGUCGACAUCCAC